UGAGUUAGUUGGAUGAUUGCUCCAUCAAAAAUAAAUUUUAAUGGAGAGGAAAGUCCGGGCACCGCAGAACAUAAAGCCUUUUAACAAAAGGAAUCCGUAAGGAUAUGGAAAGUGCAGCAGAAAAUAAACCGCCUGUCAAAAGGCAAGGGUGAAAAGGUGGUGUAAGAGACCACCAGUCUUUCUUUAAAUAGAUUGAGCUUGUAAACCCCUUUAGGUGCAAGGUUGAAUAGUUUCAAAGAUGUUGUUCGCAUCAUUUGAUGAACGGGUAAAUCGCUUCAGCUUAAUGGCAACACUAAGCGCAGACAAAUGAUCAUCUAUCCCUUUUUGGGUGGACAGGACUCGGCUUAUAGACUAACUCAAAAU
rnacentral:RNase_P_RNA from 1 species